rnacentral:lncRNA from 1 species
UCACCUGUCUUGUCUUCGUGCUAUAUUGCAGCCGAGUCUUGGAAUCAGUUUCGAAAAUUUUGACCUAAUUCCCGACGUAAAAAUCUUCUUAGGAUAUUGAAUGCUCUCUUCUCCUGAUAUAAUGUCCUAGCUUCUUCGAUUGAGUAUCAGCUGUAUGCUUCUGUGAAUUCAAAAAAGAUUACAUCACCGGCGCAUGAAUAGAAACUAAUUGGGCCAUGUUGCUCUUCAGAUUCAAGCACCCACUCGAGUUGCCGAAGAAGACGGCGCUGUUCAUCCAAUACCUGAGCCGCCGAAUGCCCCGAUCCAAUGACCCGCAGGUGGGAGAGCAGCUUUGCAUUGGCUUCAUUUGUUACAGUGAGGUCCGCAUCCGGCCUUCGUUGCCCAAGUUCAGACCUCUGGUCCGCGGAUCGUCCGUCAUCCAGCAGAUAACUCGCGAUUUGAAGGCCAUUCUGAAUCUGGCAGAAGCAGCGUCGCCGUUCGAAGCCGCUGAAGCAAUCUCCAAGCCCGCGCCGAGGAAGAGCAGCCGAGCUUCUCCGAGAAAGGGGGCUCAUCGGGCUUCGUCUUCUGGCAGAGCUCCUCCCGAGUUCCCUCUUUCUUUUACUCGGACGACUGAACUGGACCCCGCGGCCCUCAAAUCCCCUAUAAUUGUUGGAUCGACCCCCCUCGCGGGGAUGGAAACGCAAUGAUCUUCGAUGCGAGGGGCUUUCCUGCAAGGAAGACCCGAAGAGCGACCCGGAUGGGAAUAGUCAACGCUCGCAGGGCCCCC